AGUGAACGCUGGCGGCAGGCCUAACACAUGCAAGUCGAGCGGCAGCGCGGGGGCAACCCUGGCGGCGAGCGGCGGACGGGUGAGGAAUUCGUCGGAAUCUGCCUUUUUGUGGGGGAUAACGUAGGGAAACUUACGCUAAUACCGCAUACGUCCUACGGGAGAAAGUGGGGGACCGCAAGGCCUCACGCAGAAAGAUGAGCCGACGACCGAUUAGCUAGUUGGUGGGGUAAAGGCCCACCAAGGCGACGAUCGGUAGCUGGUCUGAGAGGAUGAUCAGCCACAGUGAGACUGAGACACGGCCCAGACUCCUACGGACGGCAGCAGUGGGGAAUAUUGGACAAUGGGCGCAAGCCUGAUCCAGCCAUGCCGCGUGUGUGAAGAAGGCCUUCGGGUUGUAAAGCACUUUUGUCCGGAAAGAAAUCCCUGGAGCUAAUACCUUCGGGGGAUGACGGUACCGGAAGAAUAAGCACCGGCUAACUUCGUG
rnacentral:rRNA from 1 species